rnacentral:rRNA from 1 species
AGUGAACGCUGGCGGUAGGCCUAACACAUGCAAGUCGAACGGCAGCACAGUAAGAGCUUGCUCUUACGGGUGGCGAGUGGCGGACGGGUGAGGAAUACAUCGGAAUCUACUUUUUCGUGGGGGAUAACGUAGGGAAACUUACGCUAAUACCGCAUACGACCUACGGGUGAAAGCAGGGGAUCUUCGGACCUUGCGCGAUUGAAUGAGCCGAUGUCGGAUUAGCUAGUUGGCGGGGUAAAGGCCCACCAAGGCGACGAUCCGUAGCUGGUCUGAGAGGAUGAUCAGCCACACUGGAACUGAGACACGGUCCAGACUCCUACGGGAGGCAGCAGUGGGGAAUAUUGGACAAUGGGCGCAAGCCUGAUCCAGCCAUACCGCGUGGGUGAAGGAGGCCUUCGGGUUGUAAAGCCCUUUUGUUGGGAAAGGAAAGCAGCAGGUUAAUACCCCGCUGUUCUGACGGUACCCAAAGAAUAAGCACCGGCUAACUUCGUG